GCAGGGCAAGGGCCCCAGCACCGCCCCAGGCCCAGGCUUUCUGCUGCAGAGCUGAGCACAGCUAGCACAGAAGUAGGCCAGAAGCAAGAGCCCCCGGGAGUUCCCUGAGCUGUGGACAGAAGGGCAGAGGGCACCUGCUGAGCUGGAGAGGCACUAGAGGGUACACCCUGGGCUUGUGCUCAAAGACAGAGGCGCUGUCCAGGCUGAGUCCCCACCUCCAUUACCUGUGGGCAGCUGCGCAGAGGAUGCAUGGCCGCUGCACGGUGGGGACAGCCAGUGCCGAGCUCUUCCACAUGGAGAGGUAGACACUGAGGGUGCACCCCAAGAAGAGGCCUCAAAGAAACUGCAGAUGGGCCUCCAUGCCCCCGCCCCACCACUGCUGCCACCCAGACCCCCUCCACACCAGGAUCUCAUGGGUCUCGGGCCUGGGAGAGCUGGGGGAGAGACUGUAACCUGCACUUUACGGUGUGGAAUCCAGAGUGCCGAGAAGGGGGACCCUGCAAGGUGGCCAGCAAGCAGCACCACGCCUGAACCUUCUCUGUGUAAGUUCAGCUUUCUUUGAGGAGUUUUUAUCCUGAGGAAGAGUCCAGGGCCAUUAGUGGUGACCCGCAUAACACAUGGACCACCACCACCCGUGACUUCCUGAGCGACACUGGGGUCACUCGUCCUCGCCCUGGCACUGGCCUCUCUCUGUACCACUCCAGAGAAGAGCAUUAAAUGCUCUUUGCCUAUGGAUUUCCACAUUCUACUGCCUCUCUCAGGGUAGGGGCAAAGCAGAGGACGUGUGGGACCCAGAUUAAAGGACUCCUCACCCUGCCAGCACUGGCCUGGGAUUCCAGUGGGCAGCCCAGAGCUGCUGAGCACAUGGCACUCGAGACAAGGCUGUUUUAAGAAGUGUUUGCAGCCGAUCACCCUGGUGCCAGAAGGGACUUUGGGGAGUGAAUGCCAUAGGAAGGAGCACGGGCUGUCGCAAGCGAGACUGAUCGGUUCCUGCCUUCCACCAGGUGUGAGCAAGCAGAGACCGUCCCUCAGCUUGGGGGGCCAUGAAGAGCCCCGGAAGAUGGGGGGCGGCUCUUAGGGUCUAAAUCUUAAUUGCUGUGUGAAGAAGGUCACUUAGCUCCCCAGGUCCUUCUUACAAGGGGCCUCUUCUGCCUCUUGGUCCCCAGCUCUCUGGGACUCUCUGCUGGAUCAGCUGAGUGAGGGGCCACAGGGACACAGCGACCCCUCCAUCCCUCUGUGCGCUUAGAAGCCUCUGUCCGGAGUGGAAGGAGCAUCUCCAAAUCCAAGAGGAGCAUCACCAGGAGGUGCACCCACCCAGGUCCCCGCAGCCGACCCAGAGCCACCACCCAGGCUGCAGCAGCCUUCGCCGAGCCCGCUUGUGCUGAGCGCUGUGACUCGAAUGCAUCCCCAGCUGAAUUCCCAGCUGGGCAGUGUUGAGAGGGCGGAGGAAAGAGGCCCAGGCCCCGGGUCUCUGCCCAAGGGGCAGGUUGCUGUGGUUGUCGUUGUUACAAAAAAUCGCUCCUGGGCCCUUCCACGCUCUGCAGUAGGAUGAUGCUGUGUGGAGGCCCUGGCCAGAUGCUGGCCACUGCGUCUUGGGCUGCCCAGGCUGCAGCUGCAAAAAGAGUACAUGACCGCUUUGUGUACAUCACCAGGCUCAGGCACAAACUCCCCGUGAACUGCUGCUGGAAUCUGGACAUUGUGCUGUGGUGGCGUUUGUCCCAAAGCCACUCUAACAGCUUUCCUGGCUCACAGUAGACAGAGUCACCCUGCUAGGCACCGGCAGUAACCAGGAUCAGAGGCCAGGUUGCAGCAGCCAGGGUGGCAGCACGGUCAGCACUCGCCUGGAUCUGUAGCAGGACGGUUGAAUAGAUUGUGACUCCUGGAGGGUCUGAGAGGAGGGUCUGCGUGUCCGGGGUGCCCCUGAGUACGGAGGCCUGGACUAGAGUGACAGCGGGGGCAGGACCUGCUCUGCAGCUGCCCUGGUCUGCACAGCUUCCUGAGCAUCACCUUUGCACACUCAGGGCUUUGCCUGGGGACAUUGAUUCCCAAGUCACAGGGGCGAGCGAGUCCCACGCUGUGCCUGGGCCCCUGCAGUCCUGCACAGCCAGGCCCUGGGCAGGGCUGAGCACGCGGCAAGCCUCCCUCCUGACACAAGGGAGCGGAAGCAGCAGGAGGACCAGGCCUGUCCUCGUUUCUGUCUGUCUCCCCUAUAACCUGCUGAGUGCAGAGGGGCUGUGGGACUUGGCCUAGGCUGGGUGAUGAGGGUCCCUGUGGGCCCAGGGAUGGCUGGACAGGCAGGCUGGCUGCUGCAGUGGGUCAGGGCUGCAGGCUGGGCCAGGCAUCCAGGGACCAGCAGCACCACGUCAGGUUCAGGAGUCCUGACCAGGCUGCUUCCCUGCUAGUAAAGGGAGUGGUGGGUAGGUGUGGCCAGGAGGGGUGACAUUUAGGGCAGGAUUAUAAGUCUGUGUUAAGAGAAAGAGCCUAGACAGGAAGGCUGAGCUAACCUGAUAAUAAUAAUCCUGAUCUCAGUACUGAUCAUAGCCAACGCUUACUGAGUACGCAAAAAUCUCAAACUUCACGCCUUCUGUCUCACUUGAUCACCUGGAGGCAGGUGCUGGCAUCAGCCACAUCUUAGAGACAGUGAGACCUAGACACAGAGAGGUUAAAGUAACCUGACCAACAUCACACAGCAGCUACACAGCUGAACCCUUUGGAUCUGGACCCAGUGAACAUGGGGGAGCAGAGCCCUCCGAACGCAGGGCCACCACACAGCUGACUUCCUGCAGCUCCACCCGGUACCGCCUAAGGCCACAUCCUCAGGGCUGACGGGUGUCAGGGGAAGGCCUUGGCCCGGAAGCCAGCCUGAAACCGGAAGCUGAAUGAAUAACAACCCUGAAUAAAUGUUUGCGAUUAAACUUGAAGGGGAAAA